GGGACACAGAGAGGGACACGGGGGAGGAGGACGGAGAGGAGGUCGUCCCCCGUAACGGCCAGAGAUCACCAGGUGGGAUCGGGAUCACCAGCAAGGAAAAGGCGUCACGAUUCCCCGAGUCCCUGCGAUCGAUGGAGGAAUCGCAGGCCUCCAUAGACGGCCUCUCCCAGAGGGAGUAAUGGCCGCCACGGUCACCUUCUCCCAUCGCGCUUCCCCGCACCAUCACCCGCUGCCGCCAUGUUCUAGAACUUCAAGGAGCCCAGCGGAGCGUGCUGCAUGACCUGAGCAGCAGUUUCAAAACGCAAUAAAAGUUUCCAAAGUUGAUGGAAAGACUGGAGGAAAGACUAGCUGCUGAGAGUUGUCUUAUACCUGCAUUAAGGAAGCAAUUAAACACACCUGAGCAAUUACAAACGCCUGUGAAGACAUGUGUCCCAGACAUUAUGGUGCCCUGAAAUGGGGGGACUAUAUAUAAACACUGCUGUAAUUUCUACAUGGUGAAACCAAAAUGUACAAAAAUGGCCUUUAAUAAAAUCUGACAAUGUGCACU